AAAUUGAAGAGUUUGAUCAUGGCUCAGAUUGAACGCUGGCGGCAGGCCUAACACAUGCAAGUCGAGCGGUAGCACAGAGAGCUUGCUCUCGGGUGACGAGCGGCGGACGGGUGAGUAAUGUCUGGGAAACUGCCUGAUGGAGGGGGAUAACUACUGGAAACGGUAGCUAAUACCGCAUAAUGUCGCAAGACCAAAGUGGGGGACCUUCGGGCCUCAUGCCAUCAGAUGUGCCCAGAUGGGAUUAGCUAGUAGGUGGGGUAACGGCUCACCUAGGCGACGAUCCCUAGCUGGUCUGAGAGGAUGACCAGCCACACUGGAACUGAGACACGGUCCAGACUCCUACGGGAGGCAGCAGUGGGGAAUAUUGCACAAUGGGCGCAAGCCUGAUGCAGCCAUGCCGCGUGUGUGAAGAAGGCCUUCGGGUUGUAAAGCACUUUCAGCGGGGAGGAAGGCGGUGAGGUUAAUAACCUCAUCGAUUGACGUUACCCGCAGAAGAAGCACCGGCUAACUCCGUGCCAGCAGCCGCGGUAAUACGGAGGGUGCAAGCGUUAAUCGGAAUUACUGGGCGUAAAGCGCACGCAGGCGGUCUGUCAAGUCGGAUGUGAAAUCCCCGGGCUCAACCUGGGAACUGCAUUCGAAACUGGCAGGCUAGAGUCUUGUAGAGGGGGGUAGAAUUCCAGGUGUAGCGGUGAAAUGCGUAGAGAUCUGGAGGAAUACCGGUGGCGAAGGCGGCCCCGACAAAGACUGACGCUCAGGUGCGAAAGCGUGGGGAGCAAACAGGAUUAGAUACCCGGUAGUCCACGCCGUAAACGAUGUCGAUUUGGAGGUUGUGCCCUUGAGGCGUGGCUUCCGGAGCUAACGCGUUAAAUCGACCGCCCGGGAGUACGGCCGCAAGGUUAAAACUCAAAUGAAUUGACGGGGCCCGCACAAGCGGUGGAGCAUGUGGUUUAAUUCGAUGCAACGCGAAGAACCUUACCUGGUCUUGACAUCCACAGAACUUAGCAGAGAUGCUUUGGUGCCUUCGGGAACUGUGAGACAGGUGCUGCAUGGCUGUCGUCAGCUCGUGUUGUGAAAUGUUGGGUUAAGUCCCGCAACGAGCGCAACCCUUAUCCUUUGUUGCCAGCGGUCCGGCCGGGAACUCAAAGGAGACUGCCAGUGAUAAACUGGAGGAAGGUGGGGAUGACGUCAAGUCAUCAUGGCCCUUACGACCGGGCUACACGUGCUACAAUGGCAUAUACAAAGAGAAGCGACCUCGCGAGAGCAAGCGGACCUCAUAAAGUAUGUCGUAGUCCGGAUUGGAGUCUGCAACUCGACUCCAUGAAGUCGGAAUCGCUAGUAAUCGUAGAUCAGAAUGCUACGGUGAAUACGUUCCCGGGCCUUGUACACACCGCCCGUCACACCAUGGGAGUGGGUUGCAAAAGAAGUAGGUAGCUUAACCUUCGGGAGGGCGCUUACCACUUUGUGAUUCAUGACUGGGGUGAAGUCGUAACAAGGUAACCGUAGGGGAACCUGCGGUUGGAUCACCUCCUUACCUUAAAGAA
rnacentral:rRNA from 1 species